rnacentral:ncRNA from 1 species
GCGCCCUGCCCCGUGAUCGCCUUCUCACCGUUCACCCGGCAGGCGGAAAAAGGGAGGCCCCCGCGAGGACGUGACUCGCGGGGGCUUCCG